CCCCUUUCAGGGUAGCACUUGGAGAGUUCCCAGUACUCUAUCAGUCUCAACUAUGAGAGGGAGAGUCAGUCAGAGGCAUACCCAUUCCAUUCCUAGCUUGGGCAGUGGCUAGUGAUCGGAAGGCAAUCUGCUACAAUU